UGGAGGAACAACCGCAGUGGCGGGGCCAGCUCUGGAGCCCUGGAGUCAGCCCCCGCAGUAACUCCAGAGCUCUCCAUCUGCAGGGCCUGGAGGCUCCGGGGCGGG
rnacentral:pre_miRNA from 1 species